rnacentral:rRNA from 1 species
UACGUGGAAUGCAAGCGUUAUCCGGAUUUAUUGGGCGUAAAGCGUCUGUAGGUUGCUUCGCAAGUUUGCUGUUAAAUUGUUCGGCUCAACCGAAUCCCAGCAGCAAAAACUAUGAAGCUUGAGUGUGGUAGAGGAAAAAGGAAUUCCCUGUGGAGCGGUGAAAUGCGUAGAGAUAGGGAAGAACACCAAGGGCGAAAGCAUUUUUCUGGGCCUGCACUGACACUGAGAGACGAAAGCUAGGGGAGCGAGCGGG